rnacentral:misc_RNA from 1 species
GUCCUGCUAAGGCACUUGUAAACCUGCAAGUAGCAACAUUUUAAGAAAAUUAUAUGAGACAGCAGAUGACAAAGCAUAGAAAACCGGUCAUAUAUCAAUCACUUUAAGCUGGCAAAUUUCAGCACUCACAUUGAAUAACAAACCAGGAGUCACAGCAACCACCGUCAACAUAUAAUUAUAUCUAAAAUAACAAACCGGACAAGCAAUGUCCACAAUUUACAGACAACUUUAGCUGGUGAGGGUGACCAACAAGAAGGUAUAGACUAACAUUGAAUAGAAAGUAAAAAUUUAAAAUAUUAUCAGAGAUCUCCAAUCUUAAAAAGGUAAGUUGAUGAGGUGAGAAAUAGAAAUCUGAAUAAUAAAUGACAAAUAACAAACCCCCAUAGAACACACAUUUUACCAGAAAAUGUUUUUUGACACAUAAAGUUU